rnacentral:rRNA from 1 species
AUUGAACGCUGGCGGCAGGCCUAACACAUGCAAGUCGAACGGUAACAGGAAACAGCUUGCUGUUUCGCUGACGAGUGGCGGACGGGUGAGUAAUGUCUGGGAAACUGCCUGAUGGAGGGGGAUAACUACUGGAAACGGUAGCUAAUACCGCAUAACGUCGCAAGACCAAAGAGGGGGACCUUCGGGCCUCUUGCCAUCGGAUGUGCCCAGAUGGGAUUAGCUAGUAGGUGGGGUAACGGCUCACCUAGGCGACGAUCCCUAGCUGGUCUGAGAGGAUGACCAGCCACACUGGAACUGAGACACGGUCCAGACUCCUCCGGGAGGCAGCAGUGGGGAAUAUUGCACAAUGGGCGCAAGCCUGAUGCAGCCAUGCCGCGUGUAUGAAGAAGGCCUUCGGGUUGUAAAGUACUUUCAGCGGGGAGGAAGGGAGUAAAGUUAAUACCUUUACUCAUUGACGUUACCCGCAGAAGAAGCACCGGCUAACUCCGUG